UACGUAGGGUCCGAGCGUUGUCCGGAGUUACUGGGCGUAAAGCGCGCGCAGGCGCCCGGCAAGCAUGGCGUGAAAGCCCCCCGGCCUAACCGGGGAGAGUCGUCGUGGACUGCCGGGCUUGAGGGCGGUAGGGGUUGGUGGAAUUCCCGGUGUAGUGGUGAAAUGCGUAGAGAUCGGGGAGGAACACCCGUGGCGAAGGCGGCCAAACUGGGGCCCGACCCCUGACGCUGAGGCGCGAAGGCGUGGGGGAGCGAACGGGG
rnacentral:rRNA from 1 species